GACGAACGCUGGCGGCGUGCUUAACACAUGCAAGUCGAACGGAAAGGCCCUGCUUUUGUGGGGUGCUCGAGUGGCGAACGGGUGAGUAACACGUGAGUAACCUGCCCUUGACUUUGGGAUAACUUCAGGAAACUGGGGCUAAUACCGGAUAGGAGCUCCUGCUGCAUGGUGGGGGUUGGAAAGUUUCGGCGGUUGGGGAUGGACUCGCGGCUUAUCAGCUUGUUGGUGGGGUAGUGGCUUACCAAGGCUUUGACGGGUAGCCGGCCUGAGAGGGUGACCGGCCACAUUGGGACUGAGAUACGGCCCAGACUCCUACGGGAGGCAGCAGUGGGGAGUAUUGCACAAUGGGCGGAAGCCUGAUGCAGCAACGCCGCGUGCGGGAUGACGGCCUUCGGGUUGUAAACCGCUUUCGCCUGUGACGAAGCGUGAGUGACGGUAAUGGGUAAAGAAGCACCGGCUAACUACGUGCCAGCAGCCGCGGUGAUACGUAGGGUGCGAGCGUUGUCCGGAUUUAUUGGGCGUAAAGGGCUCGUAGGUGGUUGAUCGCGUCGGAAGUGUAAUCUUGGGGCUUAACCCUGAGCGUGCUUUCGAUACGGGUUGACUUGAGGAAGGUAGGGGAGAAUGGAAUUCCUGGUGGAGCGGUGGAAUGCGCAGAUAUCAGGAGGAACACCAGUGGCGAAGGCGGUUCUCUGGGCCUUUCCUGACGCUGAGGAGCGAAAGCGUGGGGAGCGAACAGGCUUAGAUACCCUGGUAGUCCACGCUGUAAACGGUGGGUACUAGGUGUGGGGUCCAUUCCACGGGUUCCGUGCCGUAGCUAACGCUUUAAGUACCCCGCCUGGGGAGUACGGCCGCAAGGCUAAAACCCAAAGGAAUUGACGGGGCCCCGCACAAGCGGCGGAGCAUGCGGAUUAAUUCGAUGCAACGCGUAGAACCUUACCUGGGUUUGACAUGGAUCGGGAGUGCUCAGAGAUGGGUGUGCCUCUUUUGGGGUCGGUUCACAGGUGGUGCAUGGCUGUCGUCAGCUCGUGUCGUGAGAUGUUGGGUUAAGUCCCGCAACGAGCGCAACCCUUGUUCACUGUUGCCAGCACGUUAUGGUGGGGACUCAGUGGAGACCGCCGGGGUCAACUCGGAGGAAGGUGGGGAUGACGUCAAGUCAUCAUGCCCCUUAUGUCCAGGGCUUCACGCAUGCUACAAUGGCUGGUACAGAGAGUGGCGAGCCUGUGAGGGUGAGCGAAUCUCGGAAAGCCGGUCUCAGUUCGGAUUGGGGUCUGCAACUCGACCUCAUGAAGUCGGAGUCGCUAGUAAUCGCAGAUCAGCAACGCUGCGGUGAAUACGUUCCCGGGGCU
rnacentral:rRNA from 1 species